rnacentral:rRNA from 1 species
AGUGAACGCUGGCGGUAGGCCUAACACAUGCAAGUCGAACGGCAGCACAGUAAGAGCUUGCCCUUACGGGUGGCGAGUGGCGGACGGGUGAGGAAUACAUCGGAAUCUACUUUUUCGUGGGGGAUAACGUAGGGAAACUUACGCUAAUACCGCAUACGACCUACGGGUGAAAGCAGGGGAUCUUCGGACCUUGCGCGAUUGAAUGAGCCGAUGUCGGAUUAGCUAGUUGGCGGGGUAAAGGCCCACCAAGGCGACGAUCCGCAGCUGGUCUGAGAGGAUGGUCAGCCACAUUGGAGCUUGGCCACGGUCCAGACUCCUACGGGAGGCAGCAGUGUGGAAUAUUGGACAAUGGGCGCAAGCCUUAUCCAGCCAUCCCGCGUGUGUGAAGAAGGCCUUCGGGUUGUAAAGCCCUUUUGUUGGGAAAGAAAAGCAGCAGGUUAAUACCCCGCUGUUCUGACGGUACCCAAAGAAUAAGCACCGGCUAACUUCGUG